AAGAUAUUAGUAAAAUAAUUACAUAACUUUGUCAAAGUUAAUUUAUAGGUUUGAAUCCUUUAUAUCUUA
rnacentral:tRNA from 1 species